GUCAACAACUCUAUGCUUUCAAAAAUUACAAGGAGACGAUCGACAAUCUCCUCCAGGCUUAACAACUCCUCCAUAAUCGGUGGCACCGGAGGCAGCGUGCUAAUCCUUUAGAGUUUCUCCAAAUCUGAAAAUCAGAUUUGGGAUCUAUUAACUUUGUUGCUACUGCUGAAUUAAUUGACAGAGAACUGAUAUUGUUUUCGGGAAUAUAAUUCUGAUAUUUUAACAGUCAUGAAUCAAGAAGGGUGCUCAAGCAAAAAUAAAAAAAUAUCCAACCGCAUUCCACCUGGAUCACUUGCAUCUUUGCGAAACCAAAAGGUUUUGUCGUUGACAACAAAAAGAACCUCUCAAGCUAUAAGGUCUAAUGAAAAUGAAGAAAGACAAUCAGAAUCUCGAUCACUUGCAUUUUUGCGAAAUCAAUCGUUGACAACAAAAAGAACCUUUCAU